rnacentral:rRNA from 1 species
GACGAACGCUGGCGGCGUGCUUAACACAUGCAAGUCGAACGAAGAGCGACGGAAGCUUGCUUCUAUCAAUCUUAGUGGCGAACGGGUGAGUAACGCGUAAUCAACCUGCCCUUCAGAGGGGGACAACAGUUGGAAACGACUGCUAAUACCGCAUACGAUCUAAUCUCGGCAUCGAGGAUGGAUGAAAGGUGGCCUCUACAUGUAAGCUAUCACUGAAGGAGGGGAUUGCGUCUGAUUAGCUAGUUGGAGGGGUAACGGCCCACCAAGGCGAUGAUCAGUAGCCGGUCUGAGAGGAGGAACGGCCACAUUGGGACUGAGACACGGCCCAGACUCCUACGGGAGGCAGCAGUGGGGAAUCUUCCGCAAUGGACGAAAGUCUGACGGAGCAACGCCGCGUGAGUGAUGACGGCCUUCGGGUUGUAAAGCUCUGUUAAUCGGGACGAAAGGCCUUCUUGCGAAUAGUGAGAAGGAUUGACGGUACCGGAAUAGAAAGCCACGGCUAACUACG